rnacentral:rRNA from 1 species
UGGGGAAUUUUGGACAAUGGGCGCAAGCCCGAUCCAGCCAUGCCGCGUGCAGGAUGAAGGCCUUCGGGUUGUAAACUGCUUUUGUACGGAACGAAAAGACUCUGGUUAAUACCUGGGGUCCAUGACGGUACCGUAAGAAUAAGCACCGGCUAACUACGUGCCAGCAGCCGCGGUAAUACGUAGGGUGCGAGCGUUAAUCGGAAUUACUGGGCGUAAAGCGUGCGCAGGCGGUUAUAUAAGACAGAUGUGAAAUCCCCGGGCUCAACCUGGGAACUGCAUUUGUGACUGUAUAGCUAGAGUACGGCUAGAGGGGGAUGGAAUUCCGCGUGUAGCAGUGAAAUGCGUAGAUAUGCGGAGGAACACCGAUGGCGAAGGCAAUCCCCUGGGCCUGUACUGACGCUCAUGCACGAAAGCGUGGGGAGCAAACAGGAUUAGAUACCCCGGUAGUCCCUGAGCGGGCUGGCAAGGCGCAU